rnacentral:lncRNA from 1 species
CAGUGUCAGAUGAAUUUUCAUUAACAUUUGCCCAUGCGCCUAAAACGACUCCAUCAAUCUCACCGCAUUCAAUUUUUAAAUUGUUGAAAAAGUCCAAGAGGCGCAAAUGAACCCCUUCUGGUGAGUUUAAAGUUGAUGUGACACGAACCCCUUCUGGUGAGUUUAAAGUUGAUGUGACACGCAUGCACUCUUUCAGGCGGUCAUGAAACGUUUUCCAGAAACAACAGCUAGGAUAAAGUCGCU